rnacentral:rRNA from 1 species
GACGUAGGGCGCGAGCGUUGUCCGGAUUUAUUGGGCGUAAAGAGCUCGUAGGCGGCUUGUCGCGUCGACUGUGAAAUCCCGCGGCUCAACCGCGGGCCUGCAUUCGAUACGGGCAGGCUAGAGUUCGGUAGGGGAGAGUGGAAUUCCUGGUGUAGCGGUGAAAUGCGCAGAUAUCAGGAAGAACACCAAUGGCGAAGGCAGCUCUCUGGGACGGUACUGACGCUGAGACGCGAAAGCGUGGGGAUCAAACAGG